rnacentral:rRNA from 1 species
UACGUAGGGGGCUAGCGUUGUCCGGAAUCAUUGGGCGUAAAGCGCGCGUAGGCGGCCCGGUAAGUCUGCUGUAAAAGUCAAAGGCUCAACCUUUGAAUGUCAGUGGAUACUGCCGGGCUAGAGUCCGGAAGAGGCGAGUGGAACUCCUGGUGUAGCGGUGGAAUGCGCAGAUAUCAGGAAGAACACCGACGGCGAAGGCAGCUCGCUGGGACGGUACUGACGCUGAGGCGCGAAAGCGUGGGGAGCGAACAGG